UCUUUAUGGGGUGAUGCGUACCUUUGUAUAAUGGGUCAGCGACUUAUAUUCUGUAGCAAGGUUAACCGAAUAGGGGAGCCGAAGGGAAACCGAGUCUUAACUGGGCGUUAAGUUGCAGGGUAUAGACCCGAAACCCGGUGAUCUAGCCAUGGGCAGGUUGAAGGUUGGGUAACACUAACUGGAGGACCGAACCGACUAAUGUUGAAAAAUUAGCGGAUGACUUGUGGCUGGGGGUGAAAGGCCAAUCAAACCGGGAGAUAGCUGGUUCUCCCCGAAAGCUAUUUAGGUAGCGCCUCGUGAACUCAUCUCCGGGGGUAGAGCACUGUUUCGGCAAGGGGGUCAUCCCGACUUACCAACCCGAUGCAAACUGCGAAUACCGGAGAAUGUUAUCACGGGAGACACACGGCGGGUGCUAACGUCCGUCGUGAAGAGGGAAACAACCCAGACCGCCAGCUAAGGUCCCAAAGUCAUGGUUAAGUGGGAAACGAUGUGGGAAGGCCCAGACAGCCAGGAUGUUGGCUUAGAAGCAGCCAUCAUUUAAAGAAAGCGUAAUAGCUCACUGGUCGAGUCGGCCUGCGCGGAAGAUGUAACGGGGCUAAACCAUGCACCGAAGCUGCGGCAGCGACACUGUGUGUUGUUGGGUAGGGGAGCGUUCUGUAAGCCUGUGAAGGUGUACUGUGAGGUAUGCUGGAGGUAUCAGAAGUGCGAAUGCUGACAUAAGUAACGAUAAAGCGGGUGAAAAGCCCGCUCGCCGGAAGACCAAGGGUUCCUGUCCAACGUUAAUCGGGGCAGGGUGAGUCGACCCCUAGGCGAGGCCGAAAGGCGUAGUCGAUGGGAAACAGGUUAAUAUUCCUGUACUUGGUGUUACUGCGAAGGGGGGACGGAGAAGGCUAUGUUGGCCGGGCGACGGUUGUCCCGGUUUAAGCGUGUAGGCUGGUUUUCCAGGCAAAUCCGGAAAAUCAAGGCUGAGGCGUGAUGACGAGGCACUACGGUGCUGAAGCAACAAAUGCCCUGCUUCCAGGAAAAGCCUCUAAGCAUCAGGUAACAUCAAAUCGUACCCCAAACCGACAC
rnacentral:rRNA from 1 species